AUCCACAAGGACUCAAAUACUGAAGUACGGAAUCCUUCUCAGGCCAUAUUUAGUUCGCUUUAACAGGACUGAGGUUUAAAAGAUGAGCAGAAUAAUAGGAAAUAAUAAAAGAAACAGAUGAUUAGCCAGAGGUUUGGGGAAACCACUGAAAGAAUGUGUUGUUGUGGAAGCCAAAGGAAAAAGUUACUUUAAGAAGGAGGCAGAUGUUCAUGUAAAGUAAGGUCUUCUGUGCAAAGUUGUGUCCACCCCCAAAGUCUGAAGUGGCUCCAUUCACAAACUUACAUGGAAUUUGGACUUGGCCAUCUUUCCUUUCAAGAAUAUAUGAUAAAAUCAUGCUUCCCGUUCAAGAGGUUCACUCUGGGUAUAGACGGCAUUUCUGAAAACAUGGCAUUGACUGACAUUAUUGACAGUGGACUGGGAAUGGAAAGAUCAGAGUUCUUUGCAUGGCUGAGCAUCUUACUUUUCCUUGAUCUUGGGAAGGAAGGCGCCUUCUCUGAUGGAGAUUAUCUGUCAGUGAAACUAGGUGGGUAGACCUGGAAACUUCCAGCUCCCACCUCCUAUUUAACUACAAAUCUAUAUACGUGUUCAUUUUUCCACUUUAUUUUAUUUUCUAGUCAUGAAGGCAAUUUUAUGUUUCAAAAUAAGAAUCCAUUUCCAGAGAAAGAAUUUGUUAAUUCAACUGUGCAGUUUAAAAGAUGAGGAAAAUAGUGAGUAAAGAAAAUACACAUGCAUGUGUGUACCUGCAGGCUUCCAGUACAAUACUUUCUCAGAACAAAUGUGUCAGAACUUGAAAGAAAAUGUUAUUAAAUUGCCAUGUCAUUGUCAUGCUCAACAUUCUUUCUCAAAAGGAGAGAAAGUAACCAUUGUUACUUAUUUAAUCUGUAGUAUAUUCUCAAAAUUCUAACCCUAAUGUGUAAUAGGUGUAUAUAUCAUAAUUGACCUUUGUGUGUGAUUUUUUUGCUGUUCGUUCUCCUGCUCCACUUUAAGCUGAGUACAGGUAGGCAAGGAAUCUCUCGAACACCAUUGUAUCUCUAGUGCUCUGCAGUUUCAAGUGCAUGUGCUCAAUAACUAUAUGUUGAAUCAAAUACAAUUGAAUUAAAUAGAGAAAUAGAGUCUGUGGAAUCAGGUUUUAUACCUAGACUAUGCAACUAGUGUUUGAAGUUAAGUGUGCCAG
rnacentral:lncRNA from 10 species